GACGAACGCUGGCGGCGUGCUUAACACAUGCAAGUCGAACGGAAAGGCCCUGCUUUUGUGGGGUGCUCGAGUGGCGAACGGGUGAGUAACACGUGAGUAACCUGCCCUUGACUUUGGGAUAACUUCAGGAAACUGGGGCUAAUACCGGAUAGGAGCUCCUGCUGCAUGGUGGGGGUUGGAAAGUUUCGGCGGUUGGGGAUGGACUCGCGGCUUAUCAGCUUGUUGGUGGGGUAGUGGCUUACCAAGGCUUUGACGGGUAGCCGGCCUGAGAGGGUGACCGGCCACAGUGGGACUGGGAUACGGCCGAGACGCCUAAGGGAGGCAGCAGUGGGGAAUAUUGCACGAUGGGCGCAAGGCUGAAGCAGCGACGCCGCGUGAGGGAUGGAGGCCGUCGGGUUGUGAACCUCUUUCGCCAGUGAAGCAGGCCUGCCUCGUUUGUGGGUGGGUUGACGGUAGCUGGAUAAGAAGCGCCGGCUAACUACGUG
rnacentral:rRNA from 1 species